AUGGCCAGAUAUUUGUUUUUGGUUCCUGGCUUCUCCCUGCCCUUUAGUCCUCUCGCUCCUGAAGCCUUUGAAGAGAUCAAAUGCCUCGCUGGUCAAGCUUGGAAACAACGCAUUCAAGAAAAUGCAAAGGGUUCGACAACCUAUGCUGGAGCUUAUGGAAACAAUGGGCCAGAUGCACUGCCUGUCCGUAGCUGCGUCAUCCCCUCGUCUCCUACCAGGGCGCAUAAGCCUCAUCCAACUGAAAUCUUUUUAAUAAACCAGCUUCAUCACCUACCUGGACCUUAUGGCAUUCCAAAACGCAGAGAAGCAGCUCACUUUGGGUUUUGUCCACGUGAAGUGAAGAAAUUUCAAGUGUCUCCAAACAAAGUUAAAUAUAAAGCAGCUGCUGUCGCAUCCCCGGUCACACCACUCGAUGUAAUUCAGCAAAGGAUAAAACAUGGCAAUUUAAAUGUUAUUGCAGGGAGCCAAAGUGGAGAGGGAAAAAAAUUAAUCUCAUCUUCCAGUGAGGAUAUGCUGACUGGCUGGCCUGUGAAAGAGAAUGAUCAUCCCAUUGAGGUGCCAACAGGCAGGGAGGCCGAAGCAUGA
rnacentral:lncRNA from 1 species